UCUUAAAAGGAGGUUUUUAGUGGCGAACGGGUGAGUAACACGUAAGUAACCUGCCUUUAAGACGAGGAUAACAACCGGAAGGUUACUAAGACUGGAUAGGAAACAAAAAGGCAUCUUUUUGUUUUUAAAAGACCUUCUUACGAAGGUAUGCUUAAAGAGGGGCUUGCGCCACAUUAGUUAGUUGGUAGAGUAAAAGCCUACCAAGACGAUGAUGUGUAGCUGGACUGAGAGGUUGAACAGCCACAUUGGGACUGAGACACGGCCCAAACUCCUACGGGAGGCAGCAGUAGGGAAUUUUCGGCAAUGGAGGAAACUCUGACCGAGCAACGCCGCGUGAACGAUGAAGUAUUUCGGUAUGUAAAGUUCUUUUAUUGAAGAAGAAAAAGUAGUGGAAAAACUAUAUUGACGUUGUUCGUUCCUCCAGACCAGGCCCCACUAUGUGCCAGCAGCCGCGGUAAGACAUAGGGGGCGAGCGUUAUCCGGAAUUAUUGGGCGUAAAGGGUGCGUAGGCUGUUAGAUAAGUCUAUAAUUUAAUUUCAGUGCUUAACGCUGUCUUGUUAUAGAAACUGUCUUGACUAGAGUGAGAUAGAGGCAAGCGGAAUUCCAUGUGUAGCGGUAAAAUGUGUAAAUAUAUGGAGGAACACCAGAAGCGUAGGCGGCUUGCUGGGUCUUUACUGACGCUGAGGCACGAAAGCGUGGGUAGCAAACAGGAUUAGAUACCCUGGUAGUCCACGCCGUAAACGAUGAGUACUAAGUGUCGGGGUAAAACUCGGUACUGAAGUUAACACAUUAAGUACUCCGCUUGGGGUAGUACGUACGCAAGUAUGAAACUUAAAGGAAUUGACGGGGCCCCCGCACAACAGGGGGAUCAUGGUUUUAAUUUCGAAGAUACACGAGAACUCUUCCCAGGUCUUCACAGUCUGGGAAAACCGAUAAAAUUAUACCUCCGUUUGUCAGGGAUACACGGGGGGCACAGGUGUUUUCUCUUCUUGUUUUGAGAUAUUAGGGUUAAUGUCCAAAAGAAAGCGCACCCCGUGUCCAAUUUCCCGCACAUAUUGGUUGGGGGUUUAUCGGGAGUGCCAAGUAAACAAUUGGGGGAAGGGAGGGGUGGAUCAAAUGUUCAUGCCCCCUUUGAUCUUGGGGUACCCCACGAUACAAUGGCUGUGACAAAGAGUAGCUGAAACGCGAGUUUUUAGCCAAUCUCAAAAAAGCAGUCUCAGUUCGGAUUGAAGUCUGUAACUCGACUUCAUGAAGUUGGAAUCGCUAGUAAUCGCGAAUCAGCAUGUCGCGGUGAAUACGUUCUCGGGGUUUGUACACACCGCCCGUCCACACCACGAAAGUUAGCAAUGCCCGAAAGCAGUAGCUUAACUUCGCAAGAAGAGGGAACUG
rnacentral:rRNA from 1 species